rfam:Glomerella graminicola M1.001 genomic scaffold supercont1.11, whole genome shotgun sequence.
ACAUACGACCAUACCCACUGGAGAACUCGGGAUCCCGUCCGCUCUCCCAUAGAUAAGCCAGUGAGGGCCGGAUUAGUAGUUGGGUCGGUGACGACCAGCGAAUACCUGGUGUUGUAUGUU